rnacentral:lncRNA from 1 species
AAUAAACUGUACAGACGAUAGGCCUAGCUAUUUAUUAUUUUUAUAUCAGUAGUUUUUAUUAUUAUUAAUAUUUCAGAGUUGUUAAUUGUUGUAACUUAUUCUUUGAUAUAUUUAUUAAGCUCUUCAUAAUGUUUCUCAUAACCUAACAUUUAUGAAAAGCGCUGCAUAAUGAAAAGAAACUUGCUUGAUGAUUCAACUCGCUCCUAGUCAGAAAAAUAACCUUGAGGAUCCGUAACAAUUUUUGUUUCAUUUUUGUCUGAAUAAAAGUUUCUAAUCAUUAUCGAGUGAGAAAAUCUGCAGGUGCUCGCGUUCACCUGAACUUCUGAACUAGGAUAUUAAAUAAUUGAACAGUUAUACAAACGGAAUGAGUAGCUACUACUAUUCCUAAAGUUCUUUUUAUUACAAAAAUAAAAAAGAAAUUUGUGAAGUUAGAAUUUCACAUUUUAAAUUUAAGCCGACGACCGUUAUUCAAUGCAGGGAUGUAUCGAAUAGAAAUUCCACACAGGCUACGUCAGUUAAAGCGCGUGCACAAAUGAAACAGUUUUGUCUUACAAUUGAAGACCAUUAAGUAAAGGACGAUGAAAGGCCGAUGAAAAAUACGCGACGUUUCGAUGAGGACAUGAGGAGGGAAGAGUCAAUUAUAACACUGCGCAAUCUGCCGUGAGGAAGAGGACUUACACACCCCUACACACACUCCCUCAGCAAGGGCUGAGUUCCUGCUUAACCUCUGACUCACUGUCUGGAAGAGAGUAAAAUUACUGAGUCCAGCCUGAGAUGGACCUCAUCUGGAAGUCCUCAUACCUUCAGGUUUAGACCUCAGUGUUGCCGGAAGCGUUGGCCAAGGAGCCGGACGUGGCUAAGCAGAGGCAGUUCUCAUUACAUUGAUGAGCUGAGAUCUGGUCCUGCUUCACCAUCUGGAAUUGUAGUCUGGCGUUCUGCUGAAAGCUGCUGACCCAGGAUUCAACUCUUCAACUCGGGGAAGAGGAGAGCUAGGAAAAGAAAAAAGUCUGUCAUGUCAGCAGAAGUCACUGUGUCAAAGUCUUUUAUCAUGUCAUCAAGCUAAAGAGCUUUGGAAUAACGGCUUGGAUUAAACUGCUCUUUGGCAGCACCAAGAAGAAGAGAUCCAAAGUAAAGGGUAGAUGGAAGUUACCAAUCUAGUCCCAUGUACUCAUCAUUCCUAAUAUGUUUUGAUCAUUUGUGUUGUUUUUUACUUUGUUACUGUAUUUUAAAGGGAUAGUUCAC